UGAAGGUGCAGCCUCAGUAGCAGAUGA
rnacentral:misc_RNA from 1 species